GUUUUGAUUGCUCAAAUCUAAAACUAACUUUGAACAGUGUACUACGUUAAUUUAUCAUUGAGAUGUGCGUGUGUGUCACGUUUUAGCAUCGUUUCUUGUUCAUUACAAUGCCGGGGGUUCUUGGCUUUUUUGUCAUUACAUGUUUGAUAUGGACAGUAUCCAGCUGGUUAAGGUCAGGAGUUGAAAAACGCUUAAAUUUAGAAACGGGGAAAAACAAUUAAGGUUAGCUUUAGGAAAAUGUGUUUUGUUUGGUUUAUUUGGCAUGAUAUUACUGCAUCUUUAAACAAGCACAAGACAAAUGUAUGUCAAAUCAAAUGUAUGUAUGUUUUUUUUUUCCCAAGCAUUGAUGCAUCUCGAGAAGACAGAAGCCUUGGUAGACUUGUCAAUGAUGACCACCUUCAUCCAGACUGUAAAAUGAAAAGGAUGACGUCUGAAAUGAAACCACAUAUAUGUCUCUUUGCUUUGAGGGACAUACAUGCUGGAGAGGAAAUACCAUACACCUACAGAGGAACUAAUUGGCCAUGGAGGAAAAAGGAUGGAGCAGAGCCCCAACUUUCCACUGAGUUUCCUGAGACCGCCAUGUUCACGAACCAAGACAAAGACUCAACGCGCUCCCAAAGCAUUUCCCAGGUAACUUAAUUUAUUUCACAGUGGGUCAUAUUACUGUCUAUUGAAAUGCUUG
rnacentral:lncRNA from 1 species